UUCUAACAAUCACAAAUGUUACAAGUCACCACAUUUGGUUUAUACUGCCAAGCAUCCAUUUGGUUAAAAAGCCUAAAUGCAAUUUCCAAGCGACCUACUUUGUCUGGAAUGUUAAUCAAAUUAUUUAUGAACACAACAUCAGGCUUGCUACCAUCUUUUAACAUAUCCAAAAACACAAUGUAAGCAUCAUCAGCCUUCCCAG
rnacentral:misc_RNA from 1 species